rnacentral:ribozyme from 1 species
AGGUACGCUUCGAAAGAAUGAAACAGGUUACUCGCGCGGAUGCAAGAAAGGGGCAAAAUAUCGGAACUUCUCACGCGCAUGCACACUUCACCUGCGUGAUGGGAGCACGUGGAGACGAAUCCAGGCGACAACC